AUAAUACUCCCUCCGUCCGGAAUUACUUGUCAUCAAAAUGGAUGUGUCUAGAACUAAAAUACAUCUAGAUAGAUCCAUUUCAAUGAUAAGUAUUUUCGGACGGAGGGAGUAGUAG
rnacentral:pre_miRNA from 1 species